rnacentral:rRNA from 1 species
AACGAACGCUGGCGGCAUGCCUAACACAUGCAAGUCGAACGAGAUCUUCGGGUCUAGUGGCGCACGGGUGCGUAACGCGUGGGAAUCUGCCCUUUGGUUCGGAAUAACAGUUGGAAAUGACUGCUAAUACCGGAUGAUGACGAAAGUCCAAAGAUUUAUCGCCAGAGGAUGAGCCCGCGUAGGAUUAGCUAGUUGGUGUGGUAAAGGCGCACCGAGGCGACGAUCCUUAGCUGGUCUGAGAGGAUGAUCAGCCACACUGGGACUGAGACACGGCCCAGACUCCUACGGGAGGCAGCAGUGGGGAAUAUUGGACAAUGGGCGAAAGCCUGAUCCAGCAAUGCCGCGUGAGUGAUGAAGGCCUUAGGGUUGUGAAGCUCUUUUACCCGGGAUGAUAAUGACAGUACCGGGAGAAUAAGCUCCGGCUAACUCCGUGCCAGCAGCCGCCGUAA